rnacentral:lncRNA from 1 species
GUGUAAGUGGAGGUGAGUGAGUGUGUGUGUGUGUGUGUGUGUGUGUGUGUGUGUGUGUGUGUGUGUGUGUGUGUGUGCAUUCAUGCUGUUAAUGGAUUGCUAAUUAAGGACUUAUCAGGUGAAGCCAGAAAAAGCAGGAGAGGAAAUGGAGGAGUGGAGUGCCAGAUCCACAAACGUCCUUCCGUGAGAAAUGCACCUGCUAUGUCAUCUGUUGUUUUUGACAGUUACCCUUCACUUUGGUGUCGCCAAGGGUGGAAGAGCCCAGCGUAAACAGAGGCAGGCUGAAGAGAAGUUAAGGCCAUAUUUGGGCAGAGUGGAUCCAGAAUCCCUUUGUCAGUUGUUGAAAUGUCACAGUCCUAUUGGUUCCUGGUGCCAAGUAAUGAAGGAGGGGGGAGUUCUCGCCCCUAAAUGUGUGUGUCCAAAGACCUGCCCAUGGCAGGGGGCACCAGUGUGCAGCGUUUUGGGGAAGACGUACAGCAACGAGUGUCUUCUUCACAAGGAGGCCUGCCGUAAAAAACGACGCAUUGGCAAGGCACAUAGUGGAGCCUGUAUUGUGAGCAAGGCUGGGUGCUCUGAGGAAGAGUUUGGUCAGUUCCCGUACCGUCUGCUGGACUGGUUCCUACUCCUCAGCAGAAUGGGAGAGAGAUACACACCAGCCGCUCCCUCACAAAGCUGCCUCACACACACACAGCGAACGCAGCUUGCAGAGAGGAGGUUUGUUCUGCUGGAUCGUAACAGGGACGGGAAGUUAAGCAGGAGAGAUCUGAGAAAGCUUCACUAUAAGUGGAUGCCACUGGAGCACUGCGCUCAAAGAUUCUUCCAGUCAUGUGACAAGGACAAGAAUAAGAAGGUGACCCUGAGGGAGUGGACAGCCUGUCUGGUUGACCGGUCAGAACGCUGGUUUCAGGAUUUCAUGUCCGUGAAGAUGGGCUCACCAAAGCUGUGUCCUGUCCCUGACAACAACCUUUAAAUUUAGAUGCUUUAUCCAGGUGGAAUCAUAUCUUAUACCUUAUCAUUUACCUAGACGUUAUAAUAAUUGAUACCUGGAGAAAGCUAGCCAUUUGCAUUCUUGUUGGAUUAAAAAUAAAGUAAAAUAGUGAUAUUGUGAAAUAUUCUUAGAAUUUAAAAUAACUAUUUUCUAUUUGAAUAUAUAUUAUUAUAAAGUGUCAUUUAUUCCUGUGAUGUCAAAGCUGAAUUUUCAGCAGCCAUUACUCCAGUCUUCAGUGUCACAUGAUCCUUUGGAAAUUAUUCUAAUAUGAUGAUUUACUACUUAAGAAAUGUUUCUUAUUAUUAUCAUUAGAAUAAAAACUGUUGCUAUGCUUAAUAUUUUGAGGAUUAAAAUAUAAAUAUUUUGUAACAUUAUACUUUGUCUUUACUGUCACUUUUGAUUAAUUUAAUACAUACAUGCUGAAUAAAAAAAGUACAAAUUAUUUCAUUUUACAUUUUUUUUUUCUUUUCUUUCAUUUUCUUUUUUCUUUUUUGGCAAAGUACAUUGCAAUGCUAAUUUUGAAUGACUGACUAUUUGCCAGCUAUACGUUUUUAGUUUUUUUUGGUUACACUGCAGCACUUAAAACACAAUAACUGUUGCCCGAAAAGUGGGGGGAUGAAAUUUCUAAAAGUGUGGAUUAUAAUAAUUGCUUACUCCUGUUAUAUUUAAAGUCUGAUAAAAAUGGGGCAUAAUAAAAGUCUAACCAUUUCUGUUGCUUUUUUAUUGCUUUGUGCAUGUGUGUGUGUGUGUAUGCUGCAAGUGCUGCAAUCUAGUCAACAAAAACUGCUUUUUAAGGGACAGCGACAUGUAUCAUGGAUCACACAAGCAAUUACUGCAGAGAGGGACAGCAAGAGAGGGAAAGAGAGAGAGAUUGGGCUAUAACCUUAAACAGAGGAAUGGAGAGCAGAUUAAUUGAGGGGUGGUGUUUAAUAGGAGAGCGAUGGAGAGAGAGAUGGAUGGCCCAUGAGAGAGAUAAAAGACUACGUGAGCAGGGAUGAGAGGAAUAGAUAAUAUGGCAGAGAGAGACAGGGAAAGGCAAGGACACCGAAAGAGAGAGAGAAUCUCGUAAUGCACUCACAGAAUGGGACGGGGAGGGGGACAAGUUACAGUAAACCAUUGCAAAUGGAGGAGAGAAAAUAGAUUGAAGCAUGAAAAAUGGAUCAGAAAGAGAGAGACGGCAGGGGGAGGGGUGUGAGAGAGAGACACAGAGAGAGAGAGAGAGUUGCAGAAGGGUGUGAUAAAGGGUGGGAAGAGAUUGUUAGAAGGGAAAGAGAAAAAGAAAAGAGUAACUAAAUGGCAUCCCACCACAAAGUAACUUCCCCUUCCAGUACAUCAUUGAUGUCUUCCACUUUUCCAAACACUAAACGCUUCAAGUGUGAAAAAUUGAUUCUCAACAUUUGAAAACAAGUAGAUCGAGUUUUCCAUGUCUAUAUGACCCCAGGAAGUGCAGCAGAAUAAUCAGAUCUCAUUACAUUUGUAGCUUUUAAAGUGGGUUUGGUUUCCUGUAGCUGUAGUGCAGUCAAGAAUCAUCUCAUCUGGCAGCAUCUUCUGCAUUGUUAUGCUUUAUGGUGCGGUUGAUAUCUGUCAUUGUGUUGCGUGAUCAUUCUGUGUUGUGACAUUUUGAGGUUAUGUUUUGAGUUUAAUGCGUGCCGUGAUUUUUUUAUUAUGUCUCUGGUUGUUAAUACGCAGUGCAGUUUGGUCCUGUGUUGCCUUAGUAAAUGUUUUCACUCAGACUUGACUUUCUGUCUUAAAGAAUUUUGCAAUUCACAGGCACCAUUUGCAUUUGUG